rnacentral:rRNA from 1 species
CGUAGGUGGCUUUACAAGUCUGGAGUGAAAGUCCCGUUUUUAAGGUGGGAAUGGCUUUGGAAACUGUAAGGCUUGAGUGUGGGAGAGGAUAGCGGAAUUCCCGGUGUAGCGGUGAAAUGCGUAGAGAUCGGGAGGAACACCAGUGGCGAAGGCGGCUAUCUGGACCCAAGACUGACACUGAAGCGCGAAAGCGUGGGUAGCAAACA